rnacentral:lncRNA from 1 species
UGUAGAUGCUUGUGAAAAUAUUUUUGUCACCAUUUUCAUAAUUUAAGAUGGCUUAACCUGAAUGCCAUUUUAAUUUAUGCUGUUUACACUGUAGAAGUGUUAUUUAUGCCUCGAUUACAGUAUUUAUAAUUACCGUUGUAAAUUACCGGAUUUUAACAUAGCUUCUCACUUCUUUUCAAAAGGCGAAAUCUGGCUUGUGACCAAAUGAAUAGAGCCUUUUCAUUGACGAUAACAAUAAAACCAGUUGUUUGUUAACAGUAUAAAUUAUCAUCGAGGAUUUAUCAACAGGCUACGAGUCAGAUUUAUUACGACUCAACUAUCAACGAACGGAUACAAGUUUUCAUUUGUACUCUUCCAUGAACAAUGGACGGG